rnacentral:lncRNA from 1 species
GAAAAAUUGGCUGCGGUUGAUGCAUGGAAGCAUUCUGAUUUCUUAUGCAGAAAUUAUGUACUUAAUGGACUGGACAACACAUUAUAUAAUGUGUACUGCAAUGCGACGUCCGCAAAAGAACUGUGAGAAUCGUUGGACACAAAGUACAAAACCGAAGAUGCCGGCACGAAGAAAUUCAUUGUCGGUCGUUUUUUGGAUUAUAAAAUGGUUGACAACAAGACUGUCAUAUCCCAAGUUCAAGAACUUCAGAUCAUACUUAGCGACAUCCAUGCCGAAGGAAUGAAACUAAGUGAAUCAUUCCAAGUCGCUGCACUAAUUGAGAAAUUACCACCUUCAUGGAAGGAUUUCAAGAAUUACCUAGAGCACAAGCAAAAAGAGGAAGCACAAUGGGGAAGGACAAAUUGGUUCUUCAAAAACUGCUAAAAAAUUUAAAGGCAACUGUUACAAUUGUGGCAAGGCAGGAUAUCGAUCCAAGGAUUGUCGAAAGCCAGAAAAUGUGAAGGGAAAAACUAACCAGGCCAAUGUAACAGAACAUGAGAACCUCACUGAUAAGGUACAAGACAUGAAUCUUUCUGUGGUCGUCUCUGAAUGCAACUUAAUUGGAAACACUAAGGAGUGGUGGGUAGAUACUGGAGCUACUCGUCACAUAUGCUCAAAGCGCGGGAUGUUUUCUACCUACAAAGCAAUGGAUCAUGAUGAACAUCUCUACAUGGGAAACUCGUCAUCUUCCAAAGUAGAAGGACAUGGGAAGAUAGUGCUGAAAAUGACAAGUGGAAAAGAGCUCACUCUGAAUGAUUUUUUCAUGUGCCUGAUAUUAGGAAAAACUUGGUAUCUGGUUCUCUACUAAGUAAGAACGGGUUUAAGCUAGUAUUUGUCUCGGACAAAUUUGUACUCUCAAAGAAUGAAAUGUUUGUAGGAAAA